rnacentral:rRNA from 1 species
GAUGAACGCUGGCGGCGUGCCUAAUACAUGCAAGUCGAGCGAACAGACGAGGCGCUUGCUCCGCUGACGUUAGCGGAGGACGGGUGAGUAACACGUGGAUCACCUACCUAACAGACUGGGAUCACUACGGGAAACCGGCGCAAAUCCCGGAUAAUAUAUUGAACCACAUGGUUCAAUAGAGAAAGACGGCUUUGCUGGCACUACUCGCUGGAUACGGGCCGCAUUAGCUAGUUGGUAAGGUAAAGGCCUACCACGGCAACGAGGCGUAACAGACCUGAUAGAGGGAUCGGCCACACUGGAGCGGAGACACCGACCUGGCUCCUACGGUAGGCAGCAGUAUGGAAUGGUCCGCAGUGGUCGAAAGUCUGACGGAGCAACGCCGAGCGUGAUAUGAAGGCCCUCGGUGCGUAAUACUCUGCUAUGAGUGAAGAACAAAUUUGGAAGGAACUAAGCACUUCUUGACGGUACCGAAUCAGAAAGCCACGGCUAACUACGUG